rnacentral:lncRNA from 1 species
AAAAUUGUUGUUUGCUAUCAAGAAAAGUGAUGGUGUUGCAGCAAGAUGAUCUAAAUGUAAAUCAAAUGGAGCUGAAUUCUGAACCUGCUUCUCGCGGCUAGCUCGUCUAACAGUGGAAUAUGAGUAGCACAUUUGUAUGCACAACCGUAUUGCAGUAGCUAAAGGGGCUUGUCCCCCUCUCCCUCAUGUCAUUAGCUAUCAAUAAUCAUUACCUAGUUAGCCAUUUGUAGAACAAGGUAAACACAGAGAAAACGAGAUGGAUUAAUUCCUGAUAGAUGAGAUGUAUCCUCUUAUCAUUACUCAAAAAAGGAUACCAGAUAGAUGAGAUGUAUACUCUUAGAAUUACUCGAAAUCACCGAGUUCACUUUCACAUACCUCAAGAUCAGGUAGAACUUUAUAUCUCUAAUUAUCCUCUACUCAAAAAUCAUUUCAAUUACUUGCAAAACCUGCCAUCACCAAGACAUCAACACUUGUAGCAAUAGACAUCGUACAUUAUAAUAUAUAUCAUCGGCUCACCUCAUGUUGCCUAAAUCUACAUGGACCAAUCAAAUAAUUGUAGCCAUAUGAAAGAAAAAACUGAAACAGUUCAAAGAAAGGCAAAGAAUCUUCAGGCUCUGUAGCAACAGUGGGAUUGCUCUUAUUUUCGACAAACUCCUUUUGUGUAGAAGCAGUCAAUCAUGUCUAAAAAAAUCUGGAAACAGCUAGCAGGCUAACAAAUAUGGCAUUAUUACUGCACAUGACUGAAUGCAAAUUACAGUAAGGGGCAUAACCUGUGAAGAUGGCCAUCCGUCCUUGUUGCUGCAAUUGCAUAACUCCAGAUUUAAAAAAAAAAUGACAUUAAGCAACUCAACGAACAUGUGAAAGGCACACCUGUAGUAGGAAGAUUCAGCAGCCACAUGCAGCAAGUCAGGAGUCGUGUAUGAGUAAAUCAGAGAAAGGAGAAAAGAGGAAAUCCAGAACAUAAGCAGGAAGAGAAAUUAGAUCCUUUUUACAUCAAAUCAAGGCUAAAAACGUGUUGAAACAUACCGUUGGGUGUCUAAGGCUUUAUGUUUUCCAGAUCAAAGAAGAAAACGAUCUAGUUUUAAAGAGGAGAGUGAUUAACCUACCUCCAAUCAUCAGGGGCGUGCAGAUCUGAGUAGGGAGUCGAUCCGGAGGAACCAGCGUGCACCAAGCCCCGCCGCCUCAACAGGAGCUCCUCUCCCUGCCCUCCGGCCGGCUUGGCAUAGAUGAGGGAAGCCAUGAGGAAGGUAAGGUCUGGGGCGACCUAGAAAAAGCAGCAAAAUAAUUGAAACAAAGUGCACACAUAAGAAUUGUUGCCAUAAUUCCGUGGGUCGCGCGCGUGUCUCGGCGAGACUUGGUCUGUUCGUUUCCAUCGGGCGAGAAGCCGUUGGCUAGCUCUAGCCUGGUAGCGUACACUGAUCGAUCCAUCCACCAGCUUCAGCUUGUACGUGGUUGUCCUCUGCAGAAUCCAUCCACCAGUGUGUUAGCUUAGCUAGGCUAGCUUACAUGUUGGUCACUCUCACCCAUAAGCACCAGCCGGCGAAGAAAUUGCAUUGUAAAGAAAGUCGGAUAGGUACUCAGGCAUAUGGCCCCAACGCCAGUACGCCACCGACGUCGGUGGCGUUUGACCUGCUCAACACGCCCCAACUCCUUGAUCAAUCCAUGCACCUCGAUGCUCCUGCAGGUCUCGCUUGGCUACCAGAUACAGGCUUUCUCUGUUAAUUGCUUUGGCUGUCUUUGUCUUCGUGCUAAUGGAGGUGUCCUCACGUGAACUGCAAUUGGAACCAUGUUACAUGGCGUGAUGAUGAUC